GACGUAGGGCGCGAGCGUUGUCCGGAUUUAUUGGGCGUAAAGAGCUCGUAGGCGGCUUGUCGCGUCGACCGUGAAAACUUGGGGCUCAACCCCAAGCCUGCGGUCGAUACGGGCAGGCUAGAGUUCGGUAGGGGAGACUGGAAUUCCUGGUGUAGCGGUGAAAUGCGCAGAUAUCAGGAGGAACACCGGUGGCGAAGGCGGGUCUCUGGGCCGUAACUGACGCUGAGGAGCGAAAGCAUGGGGAGCGAACAGG
rnacentral:rRNA from 1 species